UGCUGAACUUGCGUCUCUAAAAGGCAUCCAAAGGUUGGCUUUUCAAACUGAAUCUAUUUCUGCAAUACCUCGUGUUUACGUGGCAUAUUGAACCCACGUAUGUUCCAAGCAAAGAAAGGCGUCAUAUCUUCCUAACGGAAUAUUUUUUUGACUCCAAAUUGUAGAUGCUGCAGCUUUAAAUCUCUAACAGAUGCCACUCUCUUCUUUUGUGAUUUAUUUGACAUCGGCUGUUUAGAGCUUUUAAGUGCCUUCCGGCUGAUUUGAUCUCAUGGAUCCCUUCUUCUUCAACAUCCUUCCGGCUGGUUUGAUCUCAUGGAUCCCUUCUUCUUCAACAUCCUUCUUCUCAAGUUUGCCUGAUCCAAUGCAUCCAAAGCAGUUGUCAAUAACGGGAGAGCAUAGUCAUUCAGUAGCCAAAGUGGCAACUAGAUUGUAGUCCGCUAAUAAUUCUACUCACCUGGUCCCUUUGGGCAAAGAUAUACUUUAUGGUUGGUGAAUACCUACACCUUGAACUCGGUCUUGUGAAUAAAGCUCAGAUUCACCAUUGUGCCGCGGCUUCUUGAAGUUUGGAUCAAGAAGUCUAGACUUGGCUAGAAAUCUAUUCUAGGAGUCAACAUGGCGUUUUUCCUUCACAUCGCCUAAGUUAUAUAGCACAGGUGUAAUACAUCGUAGAUCUGUUUCUCUCUCCUCUUUCCAUUUCUUUCUCUAGGCGAUUUACGGUGAGAUUUGCUUCACCUCUCCGGUUGUCGGUCUCGACCAUCUAUGCCGUGAGAGGGCUCACUUUCUGCCUCAGACCGUCCUAGUCAUGUUAGAUGUUUUUCAACAAUGAAAUUUCAGCAACCAUUAUAUCCAAUCAUCACCGGCUUCAUAUUACAAAAAACCACAUCAAAAACAAUUCUGAUAUCAGAAAAAUUAUAAAGAAUAACAUCAGAUCUUCUUAUUUAAGUGAAUCAUUAUACUCAGAAAUUUCCUGAGCAUUCAACAACUUGGCAAAGUGUUUCUCAUUUAAUCCAAUAAAAACAAAAACAGAGUAAAACAAAAGAGAAUAUUGUUCCCCGACGUCAUAAAUUUAAUGUAGGCUAAUACAUUCACAUAAAGCUUCACAUAUAUAUAAUUCAAAGCAUGAAUCUUUAAAACAUGUAAAGCCACCACUAAAUGAAAACAAAGAACUCAGUCCCUUAGAUGUUCAUAAUGAAAAGCGAUCAUUACCGCUAUCAUUACAGGUCUGUAAAUUGACUCAUCACUGUUCUUACCCAUAAACAAAACGGAGAAAAAUAAACAAGAUAUGUAGUCGCCCAAGUCAUGAUUCCGAAUCGGCAUCAAACUAGAACUAACAGUAUGAUGCUGUGAAUUGAUCACGGAGAAAUAUAGAAUAACGAGAGCAGAUUAAUAUUGCUUCAAGGGAACGAAUCAUAUGGGAACGGACAUAUCCACAUCGACUAUCUGAUGAAGCCAUUCAAAAACUAAAAUCGAAUUAGCGAUCAACCAGAAAGCGAACUGAGAUCAAUCAAAACAAAGAGAAAUCUAGAAAAUCGGCUGAACAACUGUUUGACGAAUUGUUAGCGUGUGU
rnacentral:lncRNA from 1 species